CGCCAGUGAGCGGCAUUUUUCCAGGGCUCUGCCUCAGUUCUGGCCUCUGGAUUGCUGGUUGAAUUCCUGUUCUGAUUUCCCUUCAGGACGAACUCUAAGUUGUAAGAACCUGACUGCCCCGUGGGCUCAGCUCCACUUGAGAGAUCUGUAGCCCAUGAGGUUUAGUGGAACAGCCGGGGAGGUGGCUGUGACGUUUCAGUGAGGCUGGUGAGGUGGCUCAGAGGUUAAAAGCACUGGCUGCUCUUCCACAGGCUCCGUGUUGGAUCCAUCGUCUGCAUGACACCUUCUUCCUGCCUCUGUGGAUCACAGGCAUGCACAGACAACACAUCCGUACCCA